rnacentral:rRNA from 1 species
CAGUAGCCGCGGUAAAACGAAGGGUGCAAGCGUUAAUCGGAAUUACUGGGCGUAAAGCGCGCGUAGGUGGUUUGGUAAGAUGGAUGUGAAAUCCCCGGGCUCAACCUGGGAACUGCAUCCAUAACUGCCUGACUAGAGUACGGUAGAGGGUGGUGGAAUUUCCUGUGUAGCGGUGAAAUGCGUAGAUAUAGGAAGGAACACCAGUGGCGAAGGCGACCACCUGGACUGAUACUGACACUGAGGUGCGAAAGCGUGGGGAGCAAACAGGAUUAGAUACCCCAGUAGUCCCUGUCUCUUAUAC